AUUGAACGCUGGCGGCAUGCCUUACACAUGCAAGUCGAACGGCAGCACGGGGCAACCUGGUGGCGAGUGGCGAACGGGUGAGUAAUGCAUCGGAACGUACCUUUCAGUGGGGGAUAACGUAGCGAAAGUUACGCUAAUACCGCAUAUUCUGUGAGCAGGAAAGCAGGGGAUCGCAAGACCUUGCGCUGAUUGAGCGGCCGAUGUCAGACUAGCUAGUUGGUGAGGUAAAGGCUUACCAAGGCGACGAUCUGUAGCGGGUCUGAGAGGAUGAUCCGCCACACUGGAACGGAGACACGGUCCAGACUCCUACGGGAGGCAGCAGUGGGGAAUUUUGGACAAUGGGGGCAACCCUGAUCCAGCCAUGCCGCGUGAGUGAAGAAGGCCUUCGGGUUGUAAAGCUCUUUCGGCCGGGAAGAAAUCGCACGGGCUAAUACCCUGUGUGGAUGACGGUACCGGAAUAAGAAGCACCGGCUAACUACGUGCCAGCCGCCGCGGUAAGAC
rnacentral:rRNA from 1 species